UACGGAGGAUGCAAGCGUUAUCCGGAUUCAUUGGGUUUAAAGGGUGCGUAGGCGGAAUAAUAAGUCAGUGGUGAAAUCUUGCAGCUUAACUGUAAAAUUGCCUCUGAUACUGUUAUUCUUGAGUGCAGUUGAGGUAGGCGGAAUGUGUAAUGUAGCGGUGAAAUGCUUAGAUAUUACACAGAACACCGAUUGCGUAGGCAGCUUACUAAACUGUAACUGACGCUGAGGCACGAAAGCGUGGGGAG
rnacentral:rRNA from 1 species